UCGAGAAUCUUCGGCAAUGGGCGCAAGCCUGACCGAGCGACGCCGCGUGGAGGAUGAAGGCCUUCGGGUUGUAAACUCCUGUCGAGGGGGAGGAAGGCGCAAGCUUGACCGAUCCCUGGAGGAAGCACGGGCUCAGUUCGUGCCAGCAGCCGCGGUAAGACGAACCGUGCGAACGUUAUUCGGAAUCACUGGGCUUAAAGCGCGUGUAGGCGGGCUGCCACGUCGGCUGCUGAAAUCCCCCGGCUCAACCGGGGAACGGGCACCGAUACGAGCAGCCUUGAGGGGGGUAGGGGGAGCUGGAACUUCCGGUGGAGCGGUGAAAUGCGUUGAGAUCGGAAGGAACGCCCGUGGCGAAAGCGAGGUCCUGGACCCUUUCUGACGCUGAGACGCGAAAGCCAGGGGAGCGAACG
rnacentral:rRNA from 1 species